CACACACACACACACACACAGUUCCUGGUCACAGCUUGCUUGUCCUUCUUGUCCCUCUCAGCUAGCCUGAAAUCCAGAACAUGUUUUGUGCUAACAUUCCUCUCCUUGUUCUCAUGUUUGUCAUGACAAAGAGUGGCAAGGAGUGGAAUGAUAGUAGAAACAGACUGGUGUUAUGGCUCAACUUGUCAGCAGCUCGGAGCAGAGAAUUGUUAAGAUGUCGGGUUGAAAAAUUCUGGUAAUUUUACAAAAACAUUUUUGAUAUCCUGGUUGGACGUUUCCCGAAAUCGGGAGGGAAUUAGCAGGAAAUCCGUAAUGCUCCUACCGGGAUUUCUGGAAAACCUGGACAUUUUGGGCAACCCCGGUCCUGGAGCGCUUCAGGUUUAUGAGGUUUUCCUGCUUUGCUUGAUACCUGGAAGACCAGGUAGGUGGUAUAGCCAGUCAACGAUAGUGAUCAAUUAGCUCAGUAGCUGAGGUGAUAAGUAGAGUCAGGUGUGGUGUGAUUGGUGUAGAACUAAACCCUGCAAUACCUGCAAGACUCCAAGGACCAGUGUUAAUAACUACCGCAUGACCUAGAGCAGUGGUUCUCCAACCUCUCCUCGGGGGACCCCCAGACGUUUCACAACAUUUUGUAGCCCUGAACUAGCUCACCUGGUUAACCUAGUCAAGGGCUUGAUGAUUAGUUGACCAGUUGAAUCAGGUGUGCUAGCUCUGGAAUAGAUCAAAUACAUUGAUGAGGGGCCCCCAGUUUGAGAACCCCUGGUUUAGAAUCAUUAAUUCCGCUCAGUUGAUUUCAUUUCAGAAAAUACUUCUCUUCAGCCGCAGUUAGCAGUCCUAGCUAGUUUAGUAUGUCUAUUUAUCCCCAGUUAGCAGUCCUAGCUAGUUUAGUAUGUCUAUUUAUCCCCAGUUAGCAGUCCUAGCUAGUUUAGUAUGUCUAUUUAUCCCCAGUUAGCAGUCCUAGCUAGUUUAGUACGUCUAUUUAUCCCCAGUUAGCAGUCCUAGCUAGUUUAGUACGUCUAUUUAUCCCCAGUUAGCAGUCCUAGCUAGUUUAGUACGUCUAUUUAUCCCCAGUUAGCAGUCCUAGCUAGUUUAGUACGUCUAUUUAUCCCCAGUUAGCAGUCCUAGCUAGUUUAGUAUGUCUAUUUAUCCCCAGUUAGCAGUCCUAGCUAGUUUAGUACGUCUAUUUAUCCCCAGUUAGCAGUCCUAGCUAGUUUAGUACGUCUAUUUAUCCCCAGUUAGCAGUCCUAGUUAGUUUAGCUGAACUAGCAUGUUAAGCUGACAUAGUCUCACUGUAACCCAGAGAAGAGCAUAUAGAAUCUUAUAAAAUAUUAUAGUUUUACAAUACAGUUCAAUUCAGCUAGUCUGAGUUUAGCUAGCUGCUCACGUCACUUCAGUUUAGCUAGUUAUGUUAAGCCUCAGCUAGAAGUCGGAGCUAGUUUGACCAAAUGAACUCCAGCUAGCCCUGGUAUUGAUAGAACAGUGAAGUGAAGAGAGGAGAGAAUCCUCAAGAAUUAUACAACUUCACAGGUCAGUUUACAUCCGUCAAAAUACUAGUCAGAGUUUAGCUAACUUUAGCUUCAGCUAACAACCGGGAGGCUAACACCCACAUCGAGAGUUGGGGGGGGCACAGUCAAAACAUCCAAUGAGUCUCAGAAGAAGAAUUAAAAAAAUAAAAAAAUAAACAACAACAACAUCAACAACAACAGACAGCUGGGUUGGAAGUGUUGUUUUGGUGAGGGGGGGGGUUGGCGAUCCGGGAACGCUACUGUACUUCAUGAUCCAAACACUCGGCAGAGUGUGUGUUUGUCUGAUCUCCUCUAGAGUCCAAGGUAUGGGAAUGUGUUGGAUAUGAAAGGCUAUUGUUUGUUUCUGUGUAGUGGAGGGGGAAAAAAGGAACUCAUCCCAAACGUAACCGGUAGAAAUGCUUCAUUCUACAACGUCUCAACACGUCUUUCUGUUUUAUGAAUAGAAGGAACAUGCAGUCUUCAUACCGUCACGGUGCUGAAGGAGGGAGUUGGACAGUUGAAUUAAUUGGACACUUUUGUUGAAUAAAUAAAAAUAUGUCUGAGCGUCUGAAAUGUCCACAGUAGAAAUGACAUAAUAGUCUCUCUUCAUACUCGUCCCCCGAGGUGAAGUUGUCUGUAUGUUUCCGUCGUUCUCCCAGCUUAGAUUUUUAUUUUACUGGAAUGCAAAAAAACAAACACUUAAGCUGUAGAUACAAAACAAUACGGUCUAAUCUCUCAAAUGUCAUCUAAAAAUCACUUCCCCCCCCCCACUUUAAAGUAAUUUUAAAACCAUACUUUUUUUGUUGUUGAGUGAGGACCACUGAGUGUACAAAACAUUAGGAACACCUGCCCUUUCCAUAACAUAGACUAAUCAGGUGAAUCCAGUUGAAAGCUAUGAUCCCUUAUUGAUGUCACUUCAUAGUAGAUGAAGGGGAAGAGACAGGUUAUUAAAUCAUGAUUUUGUAAGCAUUGAGAUAAUUGAGACAUGGAUUGUGUAUGUGUGCCAUUUCAGAGGGUGAAUGGGCAAGACAAAAGAUUUAAGUGCUUUUGAAUGGGGUUUGGUAGUAGGUGCCAGUUGCACAGGUUUGAGUGUGUCAAGAACUGCAACGCUGCUGGGUUUUUCCAUGCUCAACAUUUUUAUGUGUGUAUCAAGAAUGGUCCACCACUCAAAGGACAUCCAGCCAACUUGACACAACUGUGGGAAGCAUUGG
ensembl:lncRNA